UGCAAGUCGAACGGCAGCACGGGAGCAAUCCUGGUGGCGAGUGGCGAACGGGUGAGUAAUAUAUCGGAACGUGCCCAGUCGUGGGGGAUAACGCAGCGAAAGCUGUGCUAAUACCGCAUACGAUCUCUGGAUGAAAGCGGGGGACUCGCAAGAGCCUCGCGCGAUUGGAGCGGCCGAUAUCAGAUUAGCUAGUUGGCGGGGUAAAAGCCCACCAAGGCGACGAUCUGUAGCUGGUCUGAGAGGACGACCAGCCACACUGGAACUGAGACACGGGCCAGACUCCUACGGGAGGCAGCAGUGGGGAAUUUUGGACAAUGGGCGAAAGCCUGAUCCAGCAAUGCCGCGUGCAGGAUGAAGGCCUUCGGGUUGUAAACUGCUUUUGUACGGAACGAAACGGUCUACCCUAAUACGGUGGGCUAAUGACGGUACCGUAAGAAUAAGCACCGGCUAACUACGUGCCAGCAGCCGCGGUAAUACGUAGGGUGCGAGCGUUAAUCGGAAUUACUGGGCGUAAAGCGUGCGCAGGCGGUUAUAUAAGACAGAUGUGAAAUCCCCGGGCUCAACCUGGGACCUGCAUUUGUGACUGUAUAGCUAGAGUACGGUAGAGGGGGAUGGAAUUCCGCGUGUAGCAGUGAAAUGCGUAGAUAUGCNGAGGAACACCGAUGGCGAAGGCAAUCCCCUGGACCUGUACUGACGCUCAUGCACGAAAG
rnacentral:rRNA from 1 species